UACGUAGGGUGCGAGCGUUAAUCGGAAUUACUGGGCGUAAAGCGUGCGCAGGCGGUAAUGUAAGACAGAUGUGAAAUCCCCGGGCUUAACCUGGGACCUGCAUUUGUGACUGCAUUGCUGGAGUGCGGCAGAGGGGGAUGGAAUUCCGCGUGUAGCAGUGAAAUGCGUAGAUAUGCGGAGGAACACCGAUGGCGAAGGCAAUCCCCUGGGCCUGCACUGACGCUCAUGCACGAAAGCGUGGGGAG
rnacentral:rRNA from 1 species